CCUGGCUGAGGCCAUUACCCCUGGAGAGCAAGCUUUACUCCAGCCCCAUCCUGUAUUGACUGACUAUAAGGCCAUAGCUGCAAGGCGUGGUGGCGCAUGCCUUCAAUCCCAGCACUCAGGAGGCAGAGGCAGGUGGAUCUCUGAGUUCAAGACCAGCCUGGUCUACAGAGUGAGUUCCAUGACAGUUGAGGCUACACAGAGAAACCCUGUCUUAAAAAAACAACAGAACUGGAGAGAUGGCUCAGAGGUUAAGAGCACUGGCUGUUCUUCCAGAGGUCCUGAGUUCAAUUCCCAGCAACCACAUCUUGGUUCACAACCAUCUGUAAUGAAAUCUGGUGCCCUCUUCCAGUCUUCAGGGAUGCAUGCAGGCAGAACACUGUAUGCAUAAUAAAUAAAUAAAUCUUAAAAAGGAAAAGAAAAGAAAAGGCAAG